UCAAUUAUAUUACUCAUUUGUUCCAAGUAGAUACUGUGCUGAGCAAUGUUUUAAGUCUUUGUACUGGGCCUUGUACCGAUACCUUAUUGGUACAACACGAGAUGCUCUAGUACCAACACAUGGUACAUCGUUGGAGGUGGCACAACAAUGUAGCAUCUAUUGGUAUGAGGGAAAUACCGAUACCUUGACCAGGGGCGGCCCAAGCCUUAGGCGACCUAGGCGGUCGCCCAAGGCCCCGGCUUGAAGGAAGGCCCCCGCCAGACCGGCAGAUGCCGUCAUGCCGCAGACCACGACUCCUAAUCCUAGCGUCCCAGGCUCCAGCUCCCACACCCACAGUCCCACUCGGCAGUCUCGGC
rnacentral:lncRNA from 1 species